AUGAAGGGCACCGAAGGAGCAAAGUCUCCGGGAUCGAUGACGUGGAGCACCUUGCCCGGGAAGGCACAAGGGAACCAAGAAGACUUGCCCAUUCUGCUCUGGAAGAUUCCAAGCACAGAGUUAGGAGCACAGAGAACCAUCUGGACUCCUGGAGGAGGAAGGGCAGGCGACUCGAUCCUGUUCGCCCCAACCUGCCCACAAACACUAAGGAAGAAACGAAAUGAUGCAAAAUUGCCACAUGAUGGGACACCUGGGUGGCACAGUCAGUUAAGCAUCCGACCUCAGGUCACAAUCCCGGGGUGGUGAGAUCGAGCCCCGAGUCGGGUUCCAUGCUCUGCAUGGAGCCUGCUUGAGAGUCUCUCUCCCUCUCCCUCUGCCUCUCCCCCUGCUCUCUCUUUCUAAAAUAAAUAAAUAAAUUCCUCUAAAAAA
rnacentral:lncRNA from 1 species